GUUCAAGGGCUGAAGGCAAUCCUACUCUACUCCUGGAUCUAUUUACUAGGUAAAUGAAGAGCUGAUCUGAUUUUAUGGAGAAAGAAAAGCAACCACACAGGAGGUGGACAUUACCUUUGCUAUGUGCUUCUCCUUGUUCUGAAAGAAGGGAGUAAUGAGAGUAAGGCAGACACUCAAAGAUGCUUCAGAGUGAAGGAUGCACGUUAUCACUUAUUGCAGCAGUGAGAGAAUCUUCAAGGAAAUAACUGAAAACAGCAAGGAACCUAGGGAGCACUGAGCUUAAAGACUUGGCGUUAAUUCUCUGCCAGAAGCUGUGAAUUGCAGUGUUGGCUAUGACCCCUAGGCCAGGGCUGCUGUUCCUGCCUGUGUAGAGCCUAACUGGAAACAGAUAUACAGAAUACAAAACUGUGUCUGCAAUGCUCCUCAGAAGAACAGAAGAGGGUUGUAUCAAACGUGCACCUUGUAUUCUCAGUUUACAUGGAGAGCACCCGCUCAAAUGGUGACACUUUCAGUCUGUCUGUGCAAUGAUGCACUUUUGCCAGUUUGUCAGACAAGAUGUCGAAGGGAGAUGUUUGAGUCACAACGUAGCUCCAGAGCAUGGCUGUCAUUUUUAGUUCAGCCUGUUCCCAUCCAGGUCUGAUAUGGCCUCUCCCACCACUCAGUCCUUUCCCAGAAGGAAUCAUAGGAUAUGCUGAGUUGGGAGGGACCCAGAAGGAGCCUUAAAUUCCUGUUUGUGGCCCUGCACAGGACACCCUAGGCAUCACACCAUGUGCCUGAGAAUAUUUUCCAAACACUGCUUUGGUACUCUGACAAUCUUGGUGCUGGGACCACCUCUCCAGGGAACCUAUUCAGUGUCUGAGGAUGAAGAACCUCUUCCUGAUGUCUUCAUUCCUACCACACAAGAACCUAAAAGUUGAAGAUAAAAAUGGUGCAAUUUCCAGUGUCAGUAAUGCUGGUUCAUACCACUUUGCAGCACAAUUAAAGGGUAAAUUGGAUGCCACCACAUUUAGAUGAAAAUAGAAAUUACACUGAUCCCAGGUAUUUUCUCUACUAAUUUCUGAUGUUAUGAUAAACAGGUAAGUAUCAGAACAUAA